UGGGGAAUUUUGGACAAUGGGCGAAAGCCUGAUCCAGCAAUGCCGCGUGUGUGAAGAAGGCCUUCGGGUUGUAAAGCACUUUUGUCCGGAAAGAAAUCCUUGGCUCUAAUACAGUCGGGGGAUGACGGUACCGGAAGAAUAAGCACCGGCUAACUACGUGCCAGCAGCCGCGGUAAUACGUAGGGUGCAAGCGUUAAUCGGAAUUACUGGGCGUAAAGCGUGCGCAGGCGGUUUGCUAAGACCGAUGUGAAAUCCCCGGGCUCAACCUGGGAACUGCAUUGGUGACUGGCAGGCUAGAGUAUGGCAGAGGGGGGUAGAAUUCCACGUGUAGCAGUGAAAUGCGUAGAGAUGUGGAGGAAUACCGAUGGCGAAGGCAGCCCCCUGGGCCAAUACUGACGCUCAUGCACGAAAGCGUGGGGAGCAAACAGGAUUAGAUACCCUGGUAGUCCACGCCCUAAACGAUGUCAACUAGUUGUUGGGGAUUCAUUUCCUUAGUAACGUAGCUAACGCGUGAAGUUGACCGCCUGGGGAGUACGGUCGCAAGAUUAAAACUUAAAGGAAUUGACGGGGUCAUAGCUGUUUCCU
rnacentral:rRNA from 1 species